AUGAACGCUGGCGGCGUGCCUAAUCCAUGCAAGUCGAUCGAACGGACGCGAAGCUUGCUUCUCUGAUGUUAGCGGCGGACGGGUGAGUAACACGUGGAUAACCCACCUAUAAGAUUGGGAUAACUUCGGGAAACCGGAUCUAAUACCGGAUAAUGUUUUGAACCACCUGGUUCAAAAGUGAAAGACGGUCUUGCUGUCAUUUAUAGAUGGAUCCGCGCUGCAUUAGCUAGUUGGUAAGGUAACGGCUUACCAAGGCAACGAUGCAUAGCCGACCUGCGAGGGUGGUCGACCACACUAGAACGUAGACACGGUCCAGACUCCUACGGGAGGCAGCAGUAGGGAAUCUUCCGCAAUGGGGCAAAUCCUGACGGAACAGCGCCGCGUGAGUGAUGAAGGUCUUCGGAUCGUAAAACUCUGUUAUUAGGGAAGAACAUAUGUGUAAGUAACUGUGCACAUCUUGACGGUACCUAAUCAGAAAGCCACGGCUAACUACGUG
rnacentral:rRNA from 1 species